rnacentral:rRNA from 1 species
GACGAACGCUGGCGGCGUGCUUAACCCAUGCAAGUCGAACGGAGUAGCGAACGGGUGACUAACACGUGGGUGACCUGCCCUGCACUUCGGGCUAAGCAUGGGCAACUGGGUCUACUACCGGAUAGGAUGGGAUGGGCCCGCGGCCGAUAAGCUUGUUGGUGGGGUAAUGGCCUACCAAGGCGGCGACGGGUAGCCGGCCUGCGAGGGUGGACGGCCACAUAGGGCCGGAGACACGGCCCGGACCCCUACGGGAGGCAGCAGUGGGGAAUAUUGCACCAGGCGCGGAAGCCUGAUGCAGCGACGACGCGUGGGGGAUGACAGCCUUCGGGUUGUAAACUCCUUUCACCAUCGACGCGGUAGAUGGAGAAGAAGCACCGGCUAACUUCGUGCCAGCAGCCGCGGUAAUAC